UACGUAGGGUGCAAGCGUUGUCCGGAAUUAUUGGGCGUAAAGGGCGCGUAGGCGCCUGGCAAGUGGAAGGUGAAAUCCCUCGGCUUAACCGAGGAACUGCCCUCCAAACUGCUUGGCUUGAGACCGGGAGAGGUGAGUGGAAUUCCCAGUGUAGCGGUGAAAUGCGUAGAUAUUGGGGAGGAACACCAGUGGCGAAGGCGGCUCACUGGACCGGUACUGACGCUGAGGCGCGAAAGCGUGGGGAGCAAACGGG
rnacentral:rRNA from 1 species